rnacentral:misc_RNA from 1 species
AAAGUCGUAACAAGGUUUCCGUAGGUGAACCUGCGGAAGGAUCAUUAUCAAAUACUUUAAGAAGUCUAAACAACUUCUUACUGUUCACCCUUUGUCUUUUGCGUACUGUAUGUUUCCUCGGUGGGUUCGCCCGCCGAUAGGACAUUUAAAACCCUUUGUAGUUGCAAUCAGCGUCAGAAAAAAACUAUAAUAGUUACAACUUUCAACAACGGAUCUCUUGGUUCUG